rnacentral:rRNA from 1 species
GACGAACCGUGCGAACGUUAUUCGGAAUCACUGGGCUUAAAGCGCGUGUAGGCGGGACGGCACGUCGGUCGCUGAAAGCCCCCGGCUCAACCGGGGAACGGGCGCCGAUACGCCCGGCCUGGAGGGACGUAGGGGGACCUGGAACUUCCGGUGGAGCGGUGAAAUGCGUUGAGAUCGGGAGGAACAUCAGUGGCGAAGGCGGCCAUCUGGAUCAACACUGACGCUGAAGCACGAAAGCGUGGGGAGCAAACAGG